rnacentral:rRNA from 1 species
GAUGAACGCUAGCUACAGGCUUAACACAUGCAAGUCGAGGGGAAACGAUAGAGAAAGCUUGCUUUUUCUAGGCGUCGACCGGCGCACGGGUGAGUAACGCGUAUCCAACCUGCCCAUCACUUGGGGAUAACCUUGCGAAAGUAAGACUAAUACCCAAUGACGUCUCUAGAAGACAUCUGAAAGAGAUUAAAGAUUUAUCGGUGAUGGAUGGGGAUGCGUCUGAUUAGCUUGUUGGCGGGGUAACGGCCCACCAAGGCGACGAUCAGUAGGGGUUCUGAGAGGAAGGUCCCCCACAUUGGAACUGAGACACGGUCCAAACUCCUACGGGAGGCAGCAGUGAGGAAUAUUGGU